CCUACGGGUGGCUGCAGUGAGGAAUAUUGGUCAAUGGACGAGAGUCUGAACCAGCCAAGUCGCGUGAAGGAUGACGGCCCUAUGGGUUGUAAACUUCUUUUAUAUGGGAAUAAAAUGUUCCACGUGUGGGCUUUUGUAUGUACCAUAUGAAUAAGGAUCGGCUAACUCCGUGCCAGCAGCCGCGGUAAUACGGAGGAUCCGAGCGUUAUCCGGAUUUAUUGGGGUUAAAGGGAGCGUAGGUGGAUUGUUAAGUCAGUUGUGAAAGUUUGGGGCUCAACCCCAAGAUUGCAGUUGAAACUGGCAGUCUUGAGUAGGGUAGAGGUGUGCGGAAUGCGUGGUGUAGCGGUGAAAUGCUUAGAUAUCACGAAGAACUCCGAUUGCGAAGGCAGCACACUGGCCUGCAACUGACACUGAGGCACGAAAGUGUGGGUAUCGAACAGGAUUAGAUACCCGUGUAGUC
rnacentral:rRNA from 1 species